rnacentral:misc_RNA from 1 species
GAUGAAGAACGCAGCAAAAUGCGAUAAGUAAUGUGAAUUGCAGAAUUCAGUGAAUCAUCGAAUCUUUGAACGCACAUUGCGCCCGCCAGUAUUCUGGCGGGCAUGCCUGUUCGAGCGUCAUUUCAACCCUCAAGCACAGCUUGGUGUUGGGACUCGCGUUAAUUCGCAUUCCCCAAAUUGAUUGGCGGUCACGUCGAGCUUCCAUAGCGUAGUAGUAAAACCCUCGUUACUGGUAAUCGUCGCGGCCACGCCGUUAAACCCCAACUUCUGAAUGUUGACCUCGGAUCAGGUAGGAAUACCCGCUGAACUUAAGCAUAUCAAUAAGCGGAGGA